rnacentral:RNase_P_RNA from 1 species
UUCCGGACAGUCGCGGGCAUGGCUUUGCCGUGCGUGAGGAAAGUCCGAGCUUCAUAGGGCAUGGUGCCGGAUAACGUCCGGUGGAGGCGACUCUAAGGAAAGUGCAACAGAAAUAUACCGCCGGGACUUAUUCCGGUAAGGGUGGAAAGGCGAGGUAAGAGCUCACCGCCGUUUCAGGUAACUGUUACGGCCUGUAAACCCCACCUGAAGCAACAUCGUAAAGAGGGGAGUUAAGUUUGCCCGACGUUCCCCGGGUAGAUGGCUUGAACCGUGCGGCAACGCACGGUCUAGAUAGAUGACUGUCUGAAAAACAGAACUCGGCUUACAGGGAUACUCA